rnacentral:rRNA from 1 species
GACGAACGCUGGCGGCGUGCUUAACACAUGCAAGUCGAACGGAAAGGCCCUGCUUUUGUGGGGUGCUCGAGUGGCGAACGGGUGAGUAACACGUGAGUAACCUGCCCUUGACUUUGGGAUAACUUCAGGAAACUGGGGCUAAUACCGGAUAGGAGCUCCUGCUGCAUGGUGGGGGGUGGAAAGUUUCGGCGGUUGGGGAUGGACUCGCGGCUUAUCAGCUUGUUGGUGGGGUAGUGGCUUACCAAGGCUUUGACGGGUAGCCGGCCUGAGAGGGUGACCGGCCACAUUGGGACUGAGAUACGGCCCAGACUCCUACGGGAGGCAGCAGUGGGGAAGAUUGCACAAUGGGCGGAAGCCUGAUGCAGCAACGCCGCGUGCGGGAUGACGGCCUUCGGGUUGGAAACCGCUUUCGCCUGUGACGAAGCGUGAGUGACGGUAAUGGGUAAAGAAGCACCGGCUAACUACGUGC